rnacentral:rRNA from 1 species
UACGGAGGGUGCAAGCGUUAUCCGGAUUUCCUGGGUUUAAAGGGUGCGUAGGCGGGCCUUUCAGUCAGUGGUGAAAGCUCCGAGCUUAACUCGGAAACUGCCAUUGAUACUAUUGGUCUUGAAUUCGGUCGAGGUUGGCGGAAUGUGUCGUGUAGCGGUGAAAUGCUUAGAUAUGACACAGAACACCGAUUGCGAAGGCAGCUAGCUAGACCGACAUUGACGCUGAGGCACGAAAGCGUGGGGAUCAAACAGG